GAGCGCCCCGCAAGGGGAGCGGCAGACGGGUGAGUAACGCGUGGGAUCACCUUUGCUACGGAACAACAGUUGGAAACGACUGCUAAUACCUAUGUGCCCUUUGGGGGAAAGUUUAUCGGCAAAUGAUGAGCCCGCGUUGGAUUAGCUAGUUGGUGGGGUAAAGGCCUACCAAGGCGACGAUCCAUAGCUGGUCUGAGAGGAUGAUCAGCCACACUGGGACUGAGACACGGCCCAGACUCCUACGGGAGGCAGCAGUGGGGAAUAUUGGACAAUGGGCGCAAGCCUGUCCAGCCUGCCGCGUGAGUGAUGAAGGCCCUAGGGUUGUAAAGCUCUUUCACCGGUGAAGAUAAUGACGGUAACCGGAGAAGAAGCCCCGGCUAACUUCGUGCCAGCAGCCGCGGUAAUAA
rnacentral:rRNA from 1 species